AAACCCAUUGCGAAUCAAACACAUCAGAUCACUGUUUGGGAUAGUCAGUCUUUAAAAAAUGUAUUCCGAUAGGUCUGAGGGUUCGAGAGGUUCCGAAUACGCACAGUUUUCAGCUAUCAGCAGUUCAAUUGAUUCAAAACAGAGCAUAGCGAUAUACACGGUCAUUUCCAAUUCAACUUCAACUACAUAUGAUAAAAUUUCAGAGGGCUUUUAUGACAGACAGACUGGUAAAUUCAUAACACCAAAAUCGGUAAGGAUUACACUUGAUUAGCAUUGAUGAAGAUUCUGUUUAUAGUUCAUUUAUCCAGAAUGAAAAAUCACUGGGGGUUUUUUAUUACUGGAUAUGUAUAUAUAAAUUGACAAUCGGGUCAAUGGGACUUAUAUAUCCUUAACAGA